CGCUGGCACCGCGCCCUCGCCGCCCCCUCCGCGGCCGUGUGCCAUCCGCGCGGAAGCCGGGACCCGGGACCCGGGGCGCGGGCUGGGGCGGGGGCGAAGGGAGGAGGCGACCCGCUUGUUAUUGUCCGCUCGCUGCCUGGCGCCCGCUGUCCCCCCGCCCCCAGCUGCCCACCCAGCCCCCACCCCGCCCGGGCAGCCCGCGGGGGCUCCGGGCACCGACGUGCGCGCGUGCAUGCUUGGCCCUGCUCCCUGCCACAGCAGCGCCCGACCCGGGGCGUGCGUGCACCGCGUAGUCGGCGAUCGGAGUCCCGAAGCCGCUUCCAGUGCGUGUGGGCACGGGUGUAGACAGUGCGUGGAAAGGCUGUGCUUUGGGGGAGCCGGGGUGUCUGUGCUCUGCGCGCGUGGCACCCGAUACUCCACGGGGAAAGGAUGGACGUGCCUAGGUGGACGGUGCGCUGGACACGACGUGUGUGGCGUGGAGGAGGCCAGCUCCGGGGUCGGCGACCGGCUCUUUGGGACAGUUUGCGUGGAAGUGCGGCGUAUUCAAGAGAGAGAGGCAACAGUUUGGGGCAAGGCAGGCAGGGGUUAGGAAGAAAAGGCAAACUGAGUUAAUGAUCCCAGGGUGUCUAGCGGAGAAAGUGGCAACCUUGUAGAUGGAAACACCUCUUCCCCCGCCCCCCCCCCCAAAAAAAAGCAUUUGACACAGUGUAGGGAAGAGUGACAUCUAAUUCCUCGCUUUGAGUUUGCAUGAAGGGCCUAAGGGUUACUGAGAUAUAAACAGGAUUGUGUGGGAAAAGCAGCGCCAUUUUUAUUCAGAAAAGAAAGUUUGGGAGUGUUUGUCAGAGUGACAUUUAGGGUAGUUGGUGGGGCAGAGAUAAUUGCUUUAGCCCCAGGCUAGAGGUAGUUCACUGAAAAUUUUGCUUAAAAUUAUUUCAAGUGGACUUGAUCUAGAAGUGUUUGCACUUUCCAAGGGAUCCAGGUUCACUGUCCGCCCGAAUGUGUUGCUGUCAUUGAUGUCAUCAGGGAUUUCAUUUAUAAUACUGGAUUCCUCUGUGUCCAGACUCCGUUUCAUAGCAGCAAGACGGGAAACGACCCCUGUGUCUAACGUUAUGACACUAAGUGCUUUGUGCUUCAGUGUUUUAAAAAGUUAAAUAGAAGUAUGUUCAAUGAGUAUAAAAAAAUUCUACCUCUGUUCAGAUCUGAAUUCCUUACUUAUAGUUCAGUAAUAGCUGUUGGUUCUUAGUAAAUACCUAUCCCCCAUACAUCUUGAACUACAGUUAUAAUGUGAAUCUUGCUAAUAGAUUCAAGUGCCACUAGUGAAAUUAAUCGCAUACUAUAAGAAAGUAGUCUUCUCUGUUUAUUAGUAAACUGAUCAGAACUUACGGUUUUUCGUCUUCUCAGCCCUGUGGAGAAUUCUCACUUUUCUGAAGUGAAGCACAGUGUAUGGCCUUUUAGUGUAUUAGUACCUCCUUGACUUAAGUAGGUUGCUGCCAAGGUAUCAGCAAAUGCAGGAUGAAGAAAUAAAUGACGUUCUCAGUUUUGAGCCUUUUGAAGAUAAUGACUUUUAGGAGCAGAAGGUGAAUGGCAACCAAACAAGAAAAUCAAAGCCGUAGUGAGCCUCGGCCUUCAUACUGAGAGCCCUGCCAUACUGAGGCAAUCUGCUGUGGAAGAUUCCUUUUCAUCAGGAAGGCAUAUGGGCCUGAGAAUCUUGAAUCUGUAUUUUGGGCCCUGUCAGUUAACUAAUUUUAGAAAUGUCACUUUACAUAAAUGAGUUUCCCCCUGUGUAAAAUGUGUGUUGCACUUAGUUUUAAAAUUCCAUGAUUCUGUGUUUGUUUCAUCAAGCUGCCUCAAAUUCUUUUUGGACCGAGUUGGAGGGAAUAUAAAUAUGAACUCAGGGGAGGAAAAGGGGCUAAUAAAUUUCGAAGUUGAAACUGCCUCUGUGGUUAAUCUGAGGCAGUGAGGCCAAGGACCGCGUGGCCUAAACUGUAGUCCAUGUCGGUUUCCCUGUGUCUGUUUCCCUUCAUCGGUAGGAAGUAGUCAUGCUGUGGUGAUGACUGGCUUGGAACCAGAUUCUGCCAGCCUUGUGCUCGUUGGUAAAUUACUGUAUAUUUCUUUAAGGCCCAGUUUCCUCACCUAUAAAAUAAAGAUAAUAAAUAGUAGCUAUUUGUAGAUUAUUGUGGAGAUUAAAAUACAUAAUCUAUGUAAAGUACCUGGCCCCUAGUAUACAUCUGCUGCACGUUCCUUUCUUCUUUACAAAUUAUGAAAUAUUUGGAACUUGUCUUCUGUUUUUCUUUUGGGAAGUUAACAUCUGUUCACAUAUAUUCCAUUUUAAAUCUCUAGGACUUCCUUUUUAGGAAGGGAGAUAUCAGGCUCAGGUUCAGUCCUAUUCCCCACACAGUGAUUAAAGUAGGAUUAAAAUCUCAUUUUGAAUUUGGAGUCAAAAGUGGUUUUUCUGCUUCCUCACUGUUCAAGAGUUCUUUGUCCCCUGCUUUAAAAGUGCUUCCUGUGUUAUUACUGCCUCGAUAGGUACAAAUAACCCUAGUCUCUGUUUACUGUGGCACAUCAGGGCUGACUUUCCAGGGAAAUAAUCAAAACAGCUCACACACAGCUUUUGCCUGCAGUUGAUUUAACAGGUGGGAGUCUACGAUGAUAGAACUUGGCAAGACUUCUUUAAAAUAAAACAACCUGUAAACAGGGCCCCCAGCAGAGCGAUCAUUUAAUGAUUUUACAAAUGACGUGGGUCCUGCUUUGGUAAACGUGUAGGAUUUGGAAAAGGGGAGGGAUAGCUGAUGUGUGGAAAGAUAGAAUUCGGAUUCAGGAGAUCCGAAUAGGCAGCAAUGAUGUGCCCCCCUCCUUUGCUUAUCAGAAGCCUCACUGUUCUUCCAAGCCCGCAUCCAGUGCACCUUGCAGAUGAAUCUUUUCCUGAAUCCCAUCCGAUGUGACUGCUGUUGUAUUUGAACCACAGUAGCAUUUUGGAUUUGGCACUGUGCUGGCAUUUACACUCUGCUUAAUGUUGUAUGUAUCUGGCAGGGUUCUGGUAGGAGACAGAUUGAACUAGGUAACCAAGGAGACUUUAAGAACCAUUUACUAAGAUAUGGGCAGGUUUAGGGAAAUCGGCAAGGAAUAGGGUGGUCUCCCAGGACCAGCUCCUCUAGGCCUGGAGGGGCCAGAGGAAGGAAGGGCAGAGCCCUAAGGGGGUCAGAACCCCACGAGGGGAGCUGUAGGGGCUUCUGUCAGGAGCAGCUGUGGCCCCCAACGAGGGACCCAUCCAGCCUGCGGUAGCCUUGAGGGAGGGGGUGAGGGGAGAUGAAUACCCCACUCCCUCCCAUCCUCUCUUUCCUGCUGGUGCCUCCUUCAGAGGGCAAGUUGAUACUUUGGGGGCGCAGAGGACAGUGGAGAGUGGGUCUGGAGGCCGUGGAAAUCCUGUGCAGGACGUUGUGAUUACUGACAUGUCCUUUACAGUGUUACUCAUCUCUCUACGUGAUGAACACAAAUAAAACACCUUUUGUCAGGCCCUUAAGGCACAUCCUUAUUCUGUCUCUUUCUUCUCAGUCACACGUUUUGAAAGAACAGUUGCAUCUUGCUAAUCUCUGCUCACUCUUACACCAUCAUAACCAGGCUUCUGCCUGCAACACUGGUAGCCACAUCUAGCGCAAACUGCGUAAUACUGAUUAGUUACUUCUUGCUUAAACCUCUUCCCAGCUUCCCUGCUGCCCUUUGCAGUGCUUUUUCAAGUGUGGCUGUGAGACCACUUGUAUCAAAAAUCAUGUGGGAUUGUUGUUAUAUAUUCCCAGGCUCUACCCAGAGCUACCCAGCGAGGGCCAGGGAACCUGCAUUUUUAAGCAGGCUCAUUCUUACCCACCUUCUCCUACCAUCAGAGGUAGAGAGCUACCUGGCCACAUUUUUUUUAAGUUUCUCCAUAUUACUAAAAGGUUAUCAAAGUGUGAUGCAUUUUUUAAAUGUUUGCGUUUAACCGAUUAACUUCUAAUCUCCAAAAGGUCAUGCAGUGUCAUUGUGCUGUUGACAAUAUAGUCACAAUAUACGGGAAGAAUAAAAUUCGUAAGUGCACACUAGGCGGUGUGGCCCCCAGUUUUCAGCUGAAUCAUGUCUAUGUCCCUUUCCAGUCCUGUCACUGGAUCUCUGGUGACUGCCUGUGUAACCUCACGUGUAGAAAAUGUCAGAAGUCUAACUUUGGGGUCCUUGUGGGCUGAGAGGCCUGCCCCGUGAGAGGCCCUGCCCCACGCAUUCUCAGGCCUGCUUUAUCUCUGGGAACCCUUGGCCCACAGGAGAGGCCUAGAACCUCCCGAAUAUGGCUGCCAGCUCCUUUUCUGUUAUUUGGGCCCUGCCCCUACUUUGGCCACCCCUCACACACCCACACUCUCUCCCCAGAGGAGCAGGAAAUUGCCAGAAGCCCCCAUGCAUGUGGCAGUGGCUGGGCUGGAAGUGCAGUCCUGUUCUGCUGCCCGAAGGACCUGCAGAACCAGUUAAGUUCCCCCAAUACGUUUCCUUAUCUUUUAACUCCAUGCCUUUGAUCAAACUAUUUCCUCUGCCUGGAACCCCCUCCACACUCCUUUGGGUCGGCAAACCCAUCUUUUGCAGUACUCUGCUAAAGCUUAUGCCUCCCGGAUGAAGCUUUUAAAGAUCUGGCCCGUCCUUUCCAGUGGCGCGUCACUCCCCAUGGGGCCACUUGUGCGCGUCUAAUGCAGGUACAAGCGGUAGGUAAGUACAUGCUGCUGCCUGAGGCUGUGGGCAUCCCCGGCGGAGCCCCUUCGAGGAGCUGUUCCUCGAACCUCUGCCGCGGUUCUGCAGUGAGGCUGGCGCUGCAGAAGCAGCUCGAAGAGAAGAUAGACAGGUAGCCGUCCUGCUCAACCUCUGUCCUUCGCUCUGGGCUCCCCCAGCCUCUCCUGUGUCUUCCAAGCAAAAGUCCAGCAUCGCCUCGGUCUGGCUUUUUCAGGAGGGGGGUAAGGGGCACACGUUGGGGGUCUUUGCCCCUUUCCACAGCUGCCUGUCAAGGGUGUGUAUCGUCCUCGCUCUCGGAAGUGGUGGUCCGAGAGCCCCCGCUGAUUGGCGGUGAUUUGGCCGCCCUUGCCCUUGUCAGUCGGGGCCUCGGGGGAGCUGCCUCGGCUUUCCCUGCUCUGAUGGCACCUGCAGCACUUCAUUUCUGUUGCUUACUUCGCGCGCCUCCCUGCCAGGGUGUAGACUCCUCAGGCACAGAGCCUCUUACCAGGUUUGCCUCUCUCGCGCUCAGCACCGCCGGGCACGGAGGGCGUCCGGAGUGAGCGGCUCGCGUGGCGGGAGCACAGACCAGCUAAAGUUCCGCUCAUCACUGAUUAGCGGGGCGGUCCAGGCACUGACUGCGCUUUCCUAAGCGGCAGGUUGCUGGUGUGUAUCCCGGGGCGGGUGAGGGCCUCUCCCGCAGGGCUGAGGUUGGCAUCAGGGGUCCUGCCGGCAGAGGGCCGAGCACGCAGAGCUCAGUCUGUGCUGGGUGUCGCAGCUGCCGAGCUGCUUUUCCAGGGCUUGUGGAGGACACGGUGUGUACAUCCCUCGGGUGCAUCAGGGUGUGCAGUGCCCGUUUGCCGUGAUGCAUUUUGCAGGCAUUGGAGGGUCCGGCGUGUGGGGACAGUGUGCUGGCCGUGCGGGAUACAGAGGAGAAGGAGGCUGCAGCUUAAUGCAGUGGUUCUCACACUUUUCAAGGCAGCAGCUACCAGAGGAGUUGGCCGGGCGGCCAGGCGGAGGCUCCCGGCUGGGGUGGUACCCGUGCCCAGCUUCUGAGCAGCCCUGCGCCAGGGGCUCUCAGGGAUCCUUUUCCCGGGGACACUUCACUUUUCCAGCGUCUUUCGUUGACACCCACACCCUCCCUGGCUGGAAGGCUAGUCGUGGGGUCAGGACAGCAGUGGCGUCCCCUCCCUGGAUGGGGUGCUGCCUUGUCUCUGCAGCUCCUUCGGCUCCCCAGCUGGCCGAGCUCCGCAGAUCAGGGUCAGGUCACUGUGACUCGGUCCCUCCGUGUGGGCACUGCUGUGUUUCCUCCUAGCUGCACAGCCGCGGGAGUUACGGGGUGCCUCUGAUGUGAGUGUUUACGUAAAGGGCUACACAGUACAUCUCUGUGGGUUAGAAGGAAGCUGUGUAAACCUUUCUGGCUGACUUUUAUUUUCCUCAGGAGGGUUACUUAAAAGGAGAUGUGCAAAGCAUUGAAGAAUUUUGGAGGAAUGUGACUGAGGAUUCAAAGGAAAAUGAAGAUAACUGUGGGAGGUACCAGUUAUCCCCAGCUAGACGAUUACACUGUCAUUACACUGUUGGGUGAUAAGAGGUGACUGGAAAGAGAAGCUCUAUCAGCAUUGUUAUCAAGCUAUUCAGAAAAAAGGCCUUCAGAGUGCAGAACUGUCUUUCUCCAGAAAGAACAAAGGGCUGUCCUUACAGCGCUGUGGGCGGGGCCCUGCAAGAGGGCUCCUUGCUGAUCCACCCCCUUGUCCCCCAGCCGGCCAUUCCGGGGAAGCCUGGCUUUUGGCCGGCAGCAGGUGUCAUCAGGGGAUCCUCCCCGGGCGGCCUGUGUCCUUGUGGAGUGAGGAAGCCAGGGGCAGCCCAGUUGCCAACUAGAGGGACCUCCCUCUUCCGUGAACGUCUGGGCCUCUGACCAGCUCGCCUUGCUCCUGUCUUGGCAUCGGACGGAGAUGCCACAUACUUUCUGUCUUAAGCCAUAAUCCCAUAGAAACUUUUUUAGUUUUUAGAGGUUUUCUGUGCCAAACUAGAUAUCUGUGGAAGGUCAGAGUUGUAGACAAUAUAUACUUUUAGACAUAUUUAAGUUACUCAGUUACAUGUUAUUUUAAAAUAAAUAGCUCCCAGCUUAUACAGACAAAAAAUUCUGAAUCCUUUCAGUUUCUUUUUUAAGGUAGAUUAUAGGUAAAACUAAGCAUAUGAAAGACAUUCAGGUGAUACUUACCUUGUUAAAACUGGAGAGAGAGGCUCUGCCUUUUGCAAAACCACUAGUUUCAAAACCGCUCGUCCUUUGGGUGCACAAUGAAUAGUGAUUGAGUUGAAUGUAUCUAAUUUAACAACAUCAAAUUUCAAAGAUAAAUGUAAAGACUUGCGGUGAAGUUCUCGAAGUUAACUGUAUAGAAGGAGACUUGCCUGAGACCAGGAUUAAAUUUUAUGAAUAAAUCAUGGGAGUUUCUGUUUACUGUAAGAUGUUGUUACCUGAUGAGGUCAUGGGUUAGGUGAAGUAGUUAAUGCCAACAUAAAUUCCAAAUUCACAUGGCUAGAGGUUGCCGGGCAGGGAACAUGAAUGGAUAUGAAUGUAGAUGUGGCCAUUUUCUGAGAUAUGGACAGCAUGACCACGUGAAAAUCCCAUGCCCAGGCUAAAAGCAAAGCCCCCCUCACAUUUGCUGGUGGUUACCAAAGCUGAUUUUUCAAGGGAAGCUGGAAUUCUGGAGUUUUUGGUGAAAAUUUGUGAUUUUUAAAAUUUUGGCUGAAGUUUUCUUAAGUCUUCUGUUUUUUGAGCCCAAAAAACAUAGCUAGGCCAGAUUUAGCUUAUUGGCCAUCAGGAAGUAGGUAGCAGUUUCUAUUAUAGUUGGUGGUGGUCAUUCCAAUCUGAAGAACACUGUGCUCUUCUGAGAUGUCGGAGGACCCGAUUAUAACCAUAGCAGGACAGUCAGGGCUGCAGAAGGCUUGGGAGCCAUGUCAUGGGAUUGUUGAAGAUGUAAUUCUUGUAUUUCAUCACUUAGUAAUUUCGUCCUUAAACUGGCCAGCAGGAUUUCAGGUUAAAUUUUGUCUGACUAGUUCUAGUCGUUUGGAGAGGGUCACACCUUAGAAAUAAUCUUGAAAGUUAAUAUCCCAUUAAAGUGGGAAGGUUGGACUUUCACACCGCUAUCAUUUUGUUCUUUUUGCAGAUCCAGUAUUUCAGUUAUUAACUGGCCUAAGUGGUCAAGGCUAUCUUAUGGUGUGAUGUUAAAAAAAAAAUGUCUAGCUAAUAGAGAAUGAAGUCUCUUGGAAAGGUCUUGAUUGCCCAAUAAGCCCCUACCAAUGUUUCAGGUUUUUAACGUGUACAUUGAGUUCUGGACAGCAUAUUUUACCUUGUGAUAACUAUUCAGGUUUUGGAGUUUAACUUUAAUCUACAGUGCGUUUCACUGCAGGUGUUAGGGUGCCUUUUCUAAUACUGGGACUGGCACAGCUGUUCAUGUGAGCUGCUUACCAAGGAUAGAAGUGAUGAAGAUUUUUGGUGUCUGCGUAGAGCCGAGGGGACAAGGUAGAAGUACCCUUUGGCUGGCAUUUAGUAUCUCUGGGGAUGGCUAAGUGUCCUCAGUCUAAGAUUGUCAUCCUUCUAUGCGGUCCCUGUAGCUUUCCUGUAGUAUGAGACUAGUUAUGUCUUCUCCUUUUGUUCUUGGAAAAUAUUUUAAAAGCCACAUAGUAAAGGAAAAUCUUGGUAUAUUCGGCAUCACAGCAUUGAGCUUCAGCCUUCCGUUAGAUUUGAAUGGAAAUUCUGAUCAACUAGUCAAAAUCAAAGAACAGAAUUUUGGGGUAUUGUCGGUAUCGUUGGGUAUUUGCUACACUUUUCCAUAUGGAUUGGAAGGAUUCGUUUCUAAAGAGUUAGAGUUCUCUUUUAAAGUAUAGGGAAUAUAAAUUAACGGGGAACUAAGUAUGCUGUUCCAAGUAGGCUUUUGGCACAGGCUCAGUUUCAGCACAUAGGACUAUGAAAUGAUUGAUGCAAUAGCUUUGCUAGGAACGUGGCAUUUGGUAGGAAACGUGUGAGUCGAUUUAGAAAAAAAUCCUGCUCGGAAUAUUAAAGACAAAAGGAUGUUGGGACCAUUUCAGCAAAGACAAAAUAGAUUAGAAUCGUGCCAGAGGGCUGGUCGUGGAUCGUUUUCCUUCUUAUAUUGAUUUUAUUGAAAGCAGGAACCUCUGGAAAAUAAUGGAAAUAUUAAAUUGCUUUUGCCCAUUUUGUCCCUAACUCCAGAUUUGGUAAACGCACCUUUCAGCUGUUGUAAAAUGAAGGUGAAUGUCAGUACAGACCAGCUCCCUGGCUGGGCUAGUACUGUGGGUAGCAAGGAGAUUAGCUAUCUUUAUGUUGGACAGUAAACAGUGAGCAGCAGGGCAAGGUUCAGCCAGGGAAAAGCAAGUGUGUAUUAGUAUAAGUUAUAUAUCCGGGAAGAUGGACUGGAUCAAAAUUAAGAGCCUUCUCUCGUGCUGGGACCCAAGGAAACGAGGUAGUAGCAGUGCCGAAGACAGACCUUUGACAAAUGGACAUCAUUCUGAGAAUCGUAGAGUAGGAAAGUUUUAGUCUAUAGUGAGUGUUGUUACUUUUAUAACAUUUUUAUAAAAGGAAGUUGCUGGCUUAUUGGUAUAAUUUUAGAGGUUACGAAUUACCAUUUUGGCAGUAAAGAUGGAAAAGGGUAAGUAGGUAUUGUUGUUCAUCGAGCACCUGGUAUAGGCCAGGGGUUUUCUAGGCCCUGGAGGGAUGCAAAGAUGAGUGAGAGCUGGUCUGGC